UUAUCACUUAAGGUACGUUCACACAUAGAGCGACUCACAGAGACAAUGCGACCAGAGACGUUCAUUUUCAAUGAGAUCUGGUGACUUCCGGAGACAUGCGCGGCAGCGACCAUUGGCGACCGGAUGUGGGCGUGUCCAGCGACGUGACAAAGUUUAACUUCAUGCAAAUUUGGAGCGACUUGGUGCAGCGACUACCAAUGGGAGUGAAGAAGAGUGAGCACACACCACCCCUACUCACUAGCAGAGGGAGCGCCAUUGUGGCAGUAGCCAAUUAGCUUAGCUAAGCUUAGGAUCUUAGUGGGUUUAAAGCAAAAUUUUUUAUUAUUAAGUAAAUAAAUAAAUAACAAUGAAACAUUCACUUUUUGUUGCAAUUGAGCAAAAUCCCAGUGUAGCUCCUAUCUUUGGUGAAGUGUCCGGCUUGUCGCUGCUUCGGCGGCCGGGAACGAGCAGCACCAAGCCAGACACUUCACCCAGAAAACACGGAGGCCACAGCCAAAUAACUGCAGUCCGGCUCCCGGUCACCAUCGAACAUAUAGUGAAGGACAACCUGAUGGUGACACUCACUCACUGAGAUAGGAGCUACACCCGGAGUCUGUCCAGAAAGUGACCCGGAGUGUGUUUCAUUACUAUUAUUUUGCUUUAAACGCACUAAGGCCAUAAGCUAAGCUAAUUGGCGCUUGUGCUUUUGCCGCAGUUAGACGGCUGAUCACACACCGCUUCUCCUUCAUCUCGUAAGAUAUGAUGCAUAUAUACACUGGUGAAUUUUAUAUCCUCUCUCUCCAAAAUGUUUUAUUUCAGCAGCAAGAAAACUCGUUUGUUGUCAAAAGUGGAAUGUUAGUUGUACCACCCAUGUUACUAUGGCAACCAGUAAUAGGAACGCCUAACUGCGACUUCAUAGUACAGUGACUGGUGACUUGCAGUGAUAAAAUUGCUGUAUGUGUGAAGGCAGCAUUAUGCAGCGCAGUGUCCGUCACAUAUUAGAAGAUCUUUACAGAGGAAGCUGACAGUCGCAUCAUUGACAUCAUGUUUCGAGUUUCGUGCUCGGCCACGGUUAGCAAUCACACUAGAUGUGUACCGUGCGUGAGUCCAACUCUUCGAGCGAGCCUGGGCAUGGUAUGGAGCGAUCACCACCAAACUGGACUUUGGGGGUCAAACGUGCUCGGGCGUGGUACCGAUCGUCUAGUAUGCUCUUAUCCAGAGUGUGUUACAGAAGUGCUCCGAAGUCUCUCUCAGAAAACACAUCCUCAUGCUAGUUCACUAGGACAGGGACUAAGAGUACCAUCAGUCUAAACACAGUGUUGAGAGACAGGAGACUUCAAAUUUCACCAUAAAAGUCCCAAACAAGAUCAUGUAUAGCAGUCUUCUUACACAAAAGAGGAUGAUGUGUCUGCCAUGUCAACACAGAAUUUGGCAUCUGACUCCAUUUCCCAGCAUGCACCUCCGAAUACAAAUAUGGCUACCAUCGACUACAAAUAUGGCUACCAUGGACUCCAACUCCCAGUUCACACGCUCAAGCUCACCCCAUUACUGACUGCACACACCUGGACUCAAUCACCACUCCACACUAUAUAAACACGCUCACUACACAUAGACUUUGUGGAGGAUUUGUUCAGCUCGCUUUCCUCAUCUGAUGUAUCAAGCCUUUGAGUCAUGCGUGCCAUUUCUAUUUUCGACCCAUGUUUAUUUUCUUGUUUCAUCAUUAUAGUCUCAUACUCCGAAUAUUUUUUUGUAUAAGUUUGUACAUUGCUUGACCCUUUGCCUGCUCAGUGUCAAGGGUUCCUACUCCAAUGUUCUCUGUAUUUCUCUGAACAACGUAAGGUGGAUCAGUUUAUUAACCUUCUCAAAGGGCAAGGAGUUAACCUGGACGACCGCAGUCUGGAACCAAGGAGGGGAACACACCUCAACUCACGAUCGAUUCACUGAACUGUUCCUCCACGUCUUUGACCACGCUCCAGAAGUCCAGCGACAGGUGUAUUUUAGAAGGUGGGAGGAAACCAGAGAACCCAGAGGAAACCCACAUGGACAUGGGGAGAACAAGCACAGAAACUCCACACAGACAGAAGCCCGAGCUCAGGACUGAAGCGGGGACCCUGGAGCUGUGAGGAGACAACGCUACCCACUGCAUCACCACACUGCUCAUAGAUCCACAGAGUUCCCCUUUUGUAUAGAUGGUAAUGAAUCAAAAACAGAACAGCUGUGUAACGCUAAACUGGAAAUUAGCUGUUAUUGUUUUUUAUUUAAAUUAAUUUAUUUACUUUUACAACAAUUUAUUUAUAAGUAAUGAGAGCGACACAGUUCAGUCCACAUAGACUGCUGUUGUAAGUUUUGAAAAUGUGAAGACAGUAUUGAUAAAGGCAUGUAACUAAUUUAAAUAAUAAUAAUAAUAAUAAUAAUAAUAAUAAUAAUAAUCUCUCUCUCGCUCAUUAUAUAUAUACUCAUACAUACAUAUGUCAUGAUGCAGGAAGUGAAGAUGGUCACUGACAGAGAGACAGCAGAAAAAGGUGUGAAAUUCACACGCAUCUAUUUAUAGCUAAGACCAGAAUGAAGAAGUGACGUACAAGUUACAGGAAAAUAACUUUUCUAUUACACUUUAUAUGAGUUAUUAUAGAUACAUUCACUAAGACAGAGAUUGUGAGAGAUGUAAUUCAGUAAAUGUGUAAAAACAUACACUGUAAGUAUUAUAGGGAUGUAAAAUAAUCUCACUGUAGAUUCCUCCUUAUUCAUUCGCCCACCUCUCUUCAUCAGUACAUUUUAGUCUGAAGUUAAUCAGGAAGAAAAAAUCCACACGAUCAAAGCUGAACAGGUCUAAAUAAGGAGAUUAUAACACAAGGCAUGACGUGUAUGUUUACCUUGUGUAUAAAGAUUACUGCUGUCUUUGGACAAUUUGGUCGUUCAGGAACAGGGCUGAACUACGGCCUACUGUAAACCCAGUCUGGACAGAAACCACAUGAACUAAACACAAAGCAGCUGAACUAAGAACUGGCUAAUAUUCUCUCUCCUUUCUGUAAUAGAAAAUAGAAAAUAACUUCACUCACCUGCAGCGACGUGAAACACAGCAGACAAAAGAUACAAGCACUUCAUCAUUACUGAUUCUUCUGCACACACACCAGUCCCUCAAAGUGACAACACACACACACACUCACACUGCCUGAGUGUCUCUGUUAUAUAGUGUGAUUAUCAGGAAACCACAACAACCACUGUCUCAUUUUUUCUUUUUGAAGAGUGAUUUCAUCACUCUUUCCAUGACUCAAUUUACUUUUUAUAUGCAGCAUUAAUAUUUAUUCUAAAAAAAUAAAAUAAAAUUGAGAUAUUUUAUCUCAUGUGGUGGGUUUAUCUUACUUCAUAGUAUCAGCAUUGUUAUCUUUCUUAGGCAUCAUUUUCUUAAUGCUUGCUUGUAGCCUUUUCUUUAGAUGAAAUUUUACCUAAAUAAACAAAUGAAUGCA